rnacentral:antisense_RNA from 1 species
AGAACACCUUCCAACUCAACAUAAGGCAGCUACAGGUUGGAGUGCAAUGGCGCAAUCUUGGCUCACGACAACCUCCGCCUCCCGGGUAUAAGUGAUUCUCCUGCCUCGGCCUCCCGAGUAGCUGAGAUUACAGCCUUAAACCGAUUAAAUGAAGUCUUGACAGCCAGCAGCCUGCAUCCACUACAGAAAAAACGACACCUUGAAUCACACCUUCACUUGAAUUCAGUUGAGUUCCAGUGACUACCACCUCUGUGCUUUGUCAACUUUGGGUUGAGUCCUUUCCUGAAAACACAUCAGUAAUGAUGCAUGCCCCGCAUCCAGCUUCCCACCAAGAAGAAAAAAGAGAGGAGGAUGAGGAAAGCCAUGGAGUGAGUAUGUUUCUUUUUAAAAUGAAAACUCUCUUAGCUUUGAACACAUCCUGAGAAUCCUUUCUUCUUUCUAGUUUACCAAAGUGCUUGUUACAGUGAAAAACACAGCCCACAGGCACUGAGGUGGGACUACAGAACCUUGCUGGACCACAUCUUUUCAGCACAUUUCUGUGACCCUCUGUUUUUGAUGGAGAAAACAACGCUACUGUUAUGAAACACAGAACGGAGUCUUCAUUAAUCUUCCAGCA